rnacentral:rRNA from 1 species
AACGUAGGACGCAAACGUUAUCCGGAAUUACUGGGCGUAAAGAGCGUGUAGGCGGGGCGAUAAGUUGUCCGUGAAAGCGCCUGGCUAAACUGGGCGAGGUCGGAUAAGACUGUCGGUCUGGAGGGCGUUAAAGGGAUGCGGAAUUCCGGGUGUAGUGGUGAAAUGCGUAGAGAUCCGGAGGAACACCAGAGGCGAAGGCGGCAUCCUGGGACGCACCUGACGCUGAGACGCGAAAGCAUGGGGAGCGAACGGG